CGGCCCGCCUCCUGGCCCCCGGGAUUGGUCGAAAGCUGCCUGUCCUCCAGCUGGGCCGAUCACGAUCCCCGCCCUUUGCCAGUCGGGAUUGGUGCUCGCUGGGCACGUGCAGAGCAGUCCCGGUGCCGGCCUUGAUUGGCUCGCGCGGGGCACGUGACCGACAGGCCCAGGGUCCUCUGCGGCCGAGGCGGGCGGCCGUGGCGUCUCCCGUGGCCCGGCGGAGCUGUGACGGAGACCGCUGUCGGAGCUCGGGACCCGGAGGCCGCCUCUCCGGGAGCCAAGGGAGGCGGUGCAGACACAGGGGAAGAACAUUCCAGAUGCCAAGAGGAGCGGGCAGAUUGGAGCCCCCAACUGUGGCAGCAAGGUUGACACUCUCUUCAGAGUUGAGGCUGCUUCCUGGAAAAGUCAGCCCAGGCGGCCGAAGGCGCCCUUUCCCCUGAACUGCCUGCCUGGUGGGGUGUUUCCAGGUGGUCCGAGGAGGCGCCUCCCACGAUAGUACGCGGGAAGGCUGCCCGCUCACCUCCUUACCAGGUAUUCGUAAUCAGACACCCCCAGACCCGUGUCCUCUCCGAUCUCAGGGAACGGCCACACGUGUCCCCCGUGAGCGAGGGCCUGUCGCUCUCGUCGCCCCUGUCCCACCCUGGGCUCUGGUGAGAAGUGAGGGUCUCACCGCACUUGUUAAGAAGGACCCGAGGGGGCAGGUGACCCCAAAGGGGUGAGCUCCAAAACUCGGCCCUCUCUCGGGAGACCACACCGUUUCUGUGGGGAUGCGAUUCGCGCGCACGGCCGACCCUCCGUCUGCCUAGAAAAACCUUUCCCUGUCCUCAGGAGGACGCCCUUCAUCGCAGGCCCGGGCCUCACGCCGCCAGGGCUGUGCCGGCAGGAGCCUCGAGAUGCAUUUAGACGUGGCAGGGAGCGUCCUGGCGGGUGAGUUUGCAGGCUGUGUCUGCUCCCCAAACGGGCAAAUACCCAGGUCUGACAACCAAGGCAAGACCCAGCAGGGGAGAGGCCUGCCCCGGGGACAGACCCGCAAGCGAGGGGGCAGCCCGGCCUCCCCUCCCCUGCCCAGCAGCUGUCACCAGCCUCACCCUUGUCAGCAGCCCACAUCCACUUAGGGCUUCGCCUGGUGAGGCCGUGGGAUCAGCAAAGCCUCGGUAGCCGGCAAAGUGCCCAGUUUAGUGCCCAGAGGCAAUGACUUUCCUCUUCGUCCUUGGGCCUCGGGGCCAUCGGCUGCCACCGACGUCAGUGCCAGCCUUGGCCGAGAGCAGAGGAUAGGACGCCAGCUGCGGGUGCUCAUCGGUGCCGGAGGCCGUCUGGUGACCAGCAGAGAGCUGCCUUGGGUGUGCGGCCGGGCUCAGGUGAGCCACCCUCGGCGAACUCAGCCCCGCGGGCAGGUUGGCCGGCCGCGCCUUCGUCCCAGGCUGUUCUCUGGCUCCUCCGAGGGCGCAGGAGUCGGACCCUGAGACGCCCCCUGGGUCGGAGGUCGGGCUCUCUGCCUUCCGGUGGAAUACCCUGGCCAGGCGCUCCCCCUCUCGGCCUCCGGUUUGCUCCUGUGCUCACCGGGCAGAAGCACAGGCCCCGCAGAGCACGGGGCCCGGCAUUUGGUGAGGCCUCAGUAGGUGCCGGCUGAUGUUCGCGUUGUGAGUGAAUUGGGUUAUAAAUAGCAGAACGGACCGGGGGCGGCUGUCCUUGGCUCCUGAGCACCGCUCGGAGGCGGUCCUGCAGCAGCUCUCCAGAAAUCCGGCGGGUUCCGCCAGGUGACGUGUGCCCCGAGGCCCCGCCCCGCUAGGGGAGCGCGGGCGGGGAAGCCCUGGGGAGGCGCAGCUCGACGCCCGCUGCCCCCGACCCCUGGGGGCGCUCACCCGGUUGGGGAAGGCACGGAGGAGGCCCCUGGACCGGGGAGGGGAGCCUCGGCAGCCUGAGCCCUGGACUCCUCCCUCGGGACCCUCCCGUGCUCAGACGUGGCUAAGGAGGCGAAGCGCCAGGCGGAGACCUCAGCCCGAGUCCCCGCUCGGCCUCCUGCCGUGCACGGGGACCUGCCACUCGGCGUCUCGGUCACUCUUCCUGGGGAAUGGGUACAGUCCCUACCUGCCCCCCUGCUCCCCAGUCAGUGUCCUCAAGAUGCUUCGCUCACAUGCCAGCACCCGGUAGGGUGUGGAACACGAGGAGAAAGCAUCCGAAUACUUGUGCUCUCACGUCAGGUAGCGACGAAGAGCUGUACCGUUACCUAAGGGGAAGGGGCAAAACCGACCGCUUUUAAGUCCUUUAGGACUUUCGAGUUUAUAACAUUUGAAGUUGUGUGUAGACGUCUACCAGAAAUGGGGGCUUCUGCGGACUCUGUCUUCAACUGGUGGUACCGUUUGAACCUCACAGUUGGUGGUGGAUUCUCUACGCGAAGACGGCGUGUUACCGUGCCGCUUCUUUCUACCACGGCCGGCCAAUCGGUGUUUCUCCCGGGUGUAACGCGAGCCACGUGAGAAAUUGAUUUACGUCCAUACGGAAAGACAGCUGGGGAAACUGUGGCUCUUGGCCCGCACGUGCAGGCCCAACCACGGUGUGGUGUUGCUGGUUAACGGCCCAAGACGUGUGAGUCAAACGCCUGUCCAACGGGAGUACGGAGAAGACUGGUUAGUCAAAGUGACACCUAGGCGCGGACGUCAGCGGAGGCCAGCAAACAACGGGCUCCAGGGACAGCGGGGGGAGCGCCCGGCACCCCCAGGGUCUGGGCAGAGGCUCCAGGCAGAGAGCCAGCGGCCCGCUCUAGGGCGUGGCGUGCCUGGGCAGAGCCUCACAAGCGGCCCCUCACAUUCUACCCCCAGCCGCGACGGCAGCACCUCGAACUCUGCGUCAGACUGUGACUGGCUACCCCGUGGGCAGCCGGACGCCUCCUUCCGUGACGCCUGCCAGCCGGGAUGGGAAGGGCCGGCAGGGGGGCUGCCAUUUCCCUCCGAGUUGACUAGUGAAGCCACAGUCUGGCACCUCCCCCGCCCUCCGGCCGGUCGGCGACGGGAGGAGGCGAGAAGGAUCCGUGCACGCUUCACCGCACGCGCGCACGUGUGCGCGCCCCGACCCGCUCACCCUCCAUUGGCACGGUUCCUCCCCUGCCACCAGCUUGGUGGAGCUCACCAGUUUUGGCUUCUGCGAGGCUCCAGAAUGGCCUUACGGGGCGGGGGGAGGGGUGGGGGUCCCGGCAAGGACCUGGAGAACACGGAACCGCAGGGAGCAGCGCUCCUCUUUGGAAGCCAGGGCAGGGAUGGUCUGCCGUGGCUGGCUGCCUUCUAUCACAGGUCUCUACGCGGGGGAGCCACGUCCUGCCAGCGUGGAUGCGGUCCGCACUCGGCUGUGCCGGCGUCCAGGAGAGGAGGGGAAAGGGACGCAGGCGUUGUGUAACAGGUGUGGCCCGCGCGCGUCCGCUCUGGCUGCUCCCCAAGGGCAUUUCCUGGUCAGCACUGACUGGACGAGAUGGGAAGGCCGGCAGGGGGCGGUCUCUGUCUAAGCCGACCGUGGGACUUACCUGGGAG